UGUGUGUUGUGUUGAGAUGGAAAAUGGGCAUGCGAGAUCUUAAAAGCUGCAUGGUCUGGUCUGGCUUGGGGAUAAGCACAAAGCAAAACCUUCAAAAUUUGUGACCAAAGACGUGAAAUCUAGAGCUUGUACUUAAAGGGGAACUUCUUUUGGGUAAAAAUAUCAAAGUUCAAUAGAAGAAGGUGUCAGUUAUUGCAUAUGAUGCUGGCUACACCUUCUCACACCCUAGAACAGGACAUCACAACUUCAGGCCCAUUUUCAGGUAUUGGGUACUAUGGGCUGGGCUUUUCAGUCUUGGGAAGAUGAAUGUCAGCCCAGGCCCAAGGAAAAGAAAGGUAAGAUGCUGUUUAUGUUCACUUUUUUCUUCUCACACCCUCUUUGUUUCUUUUUUCUCCAUA
rnacentral:sRNA from 1 species